rnacentral:rRNA from 1 species
UACGAAGGGGGCUAGCGUUGUUCGGAAUUACUGGGCGUAAAGCGCACGUAGGCGGCUUUGUAAGUUAGAGGUGAAAGCCCGGGGCUCAACUCCGGAACUGCCUUUAAGACUGCAUCGCUUGAAUCCGGGAGAGGUGAGUGGAAUUCCGAGUGUAGAGGUGAAAUUCGUAGAUAUGCGGAGGAACACCGAUGGCGAAGGCAAUCCCCUGGACCUGUACUGACGCUCAUGCACGAAAGCGUGGGGAGCAAACAGG